rnacentral:tRNA from 1 species
UGUCCUAUUGUGUAAUGGUAGCACAGCAGACUCUGGAUCUGUUAGUUGGGGUUCGAAUCCCUAUAGGACAA